rnacentral:rRNA from 1 species
UACGUAGGGGGCAAGCGUUGUCCGGAUUUAUUGGGCGUAAAGAGCGUGUAGGCGGCCUGGAAGGUCCGUUGUGAAAACUCGAGGCUCAACCUCGAGAUGUCGAUGGAAACCGUCUGGCUAGAGUCCGGAAGAGGAGUGUGGAAUUCCUGGUGUAGCGGUGAAAUGCGCAGAUAUCAGGAAGAACACCUAUGGCGAAGGCAGCACUCUGGGACGGUACUGACGCUGAGACGCGAAAGCGUGGGGAGCGAACAGG